rnacentral:miRNA from 1 species
CUGGGGAGUUGCACCCGGAGU